CCUACGGGAGGCAGCAGUGAGGAAUAUUGGUCAAUGGACGAGAGUCUGAACCAGCCAAGUAGCGUGAAGGAUGACUGCCCUAUGGGUUGUAAACUUCUUUUAUAUGGGAAUAAAAUGUUCCACGUGUGGGAUUUUGUAUGUACCAUAUGAAUAAGGAUCGGCUAACUCCGUGCCAGCAGCCGCGGUAAUACGGAGGAUCCGAGCGUUAUCCGGAUUUAUUGGGUUUAAAGGGAGCGUAGGUGGAUUGUUAAGGCAGUUGUGAAAGUUUGCGGCUCAACCGUAAAAUUGCAGUUGAAACUGGCAGGCUUGAGUACAGUAGAGGUGGGCGGAAUUCGUGGUGUAGCGGUGAAAUGCUUAGAUAUCACGAAGAACUCCGAUUGCGAAGGCAGCUCACUGGACUGCAACUGACACUGAGGCUCGAAAGUGUGGGUAUCAAACAGGAUUAGAUACCCCAGUAGUC
rnacentral:rRNA from 1 species